GUGAACGCUGGCGGUGCGCCUAACACAUGCAAGUCGAGUGGGUUUAGACCCACGGCGAACGGCUGCGUAACACGUUGGUACGUCCCCCGAACUCAGGGAUAUCCCGCCGAAAGGCGGAGUAAUACCGGAUGCCCUCGAAAGAGGAAAGAUUUAUCGGUUUGGGAACGGCCUGCGGCCUAUCAGUUAGUUGGUAAGGUAACGGCUUACCAAGACUAUGACGGGUAGCUGAUCUGAGAGGAUGAUCAGCCAGAAUGGAACUGAGACACGGUCCAUACUCCUACGGGAGGCAGCAGUGAGGAAUCUUCCGCAAUGGGCGAAAGCCUGACGGAGCGACACCGCGUGGUGGAUGAAGGCCUUUUCGGUCGUAAACACCUGUUCUGAGGGACGAAAUUUUUGACGGUACCUCAGGAGAAAGCAUCGGCUAACCCUGUGCCAGCAGCCGCGGUAAGACAGGGGAUGCAAGCGUUACUCGGAAUUACUGGGCGUAAAGCGUCUGCAGGUUUUUUACCACGUCUGGUGUAAAAGCACGGAGCUCAACUCCGUGUACGUGCCGGAAACGAGUAGAAUAGAGUCAUGGAGAGGCAUCUGGAAUGUCGUGUGUAGGGGUAAAAUCCGUAGAUCCACGAUGGAACGCCAAAAGCGAAAGCAGGAUGCUGGCCAUGUACUGACACUCAGAGACGAAAGCGUGGGGAGCAAAGGGGAUUAGAUACCCCCGUAGUCCACGCCCUAAACUAUGCGAGCUCGGUGUAGGGAUUUUUCAAUUGAUCUCUGUGCCCAAGUUAACACGGUAAGCUCGCCGCCUGGGAAGUACGGUCGCAAGACUAAAACUCAAAGGAAUAGACGGGGACCCACACAAGCGGUGGAGCAUGGGGUUUAAUUCGAUAAUAACCGAAGCACCUCACCCAGACUUAACAUCUAGAGAACCCUUUGGAAACAAGGGGGUGCCGCAAGGAACUCUAAGACAGGCGCUGCACGGUCGUCGUCAGCUCGUGCCUUGAGGUGUACUGUUAAGUCAGCGAACGAGCGCAACCCUCAUCCUAUGUUGUUUUUUUCAUGGGAGACUGCCGCCUCCAAGGCGGAGGAAGGUGGGGAUGACGUCAGAUCAGCGUGGGCCCUUAUGUCUGGGGCAACACCCAUGCUACAAUGGCCGGUACAAAGAGCAGCAAACCCGCGAGGGCAAGCCAAUCUCAUCAAAACCGGUCUCAGUUCGGAUUGCAGGCUGCAACUCGCCUGCAUGAAGUCGGAAUCGCUAGUAACCGUCAAUCAGCUAUGUGACGGUGAAUAUGUUCCUGGGUCUUGUACUCACCGCCCGUCAAGUCAUGAAAGCUCGGGGCACCCGAAGCACCGUUACGCGCAAGCGGCGGUACCACGGUGAAACGAGUGAUUGGGACU
rnacentral:rRNA from 1 species